GAUUAAUACCGGAUCGGUCUGCGCUGCAUGGCGCGGUGACCAAAGAUCCGUUGUUCGGGGAUGGGCUCGCGUCCGAUUAGCUUGUUGGCGGGGUAACGGCCCACCAAGGCUGUGACAGGUAGCUGGUCUGAGAGGAUGAUCAGUCACACUGGGACUGAGACACUGCCCAGACUCCUACGGGAGGCUGCAGUCGAGAAUCUUCCGCAAUGGGCGCAAGCCUGACGGAGCAAUGCCGCGUGAGGGAUGACGGCCUUCGGGUUGUAAACCUCUGUCAGGGGGGACGAAGAAUGUGACGGUACCCCCAGAGGAAGCCACGGCAACUACGUGCCAGCAGCCGCGGUAAUACGUAGGUGGCGAGCGUUAUUCGGAUUCACUGGGCGUAAAGGGUCCGCAGGGGGUUUGCCAAGUCUGAUGUGAAAUCCCGGGGCUCAACUCCGGAACUGCAUUGGAAACUGGCGGACUGGAGUCUGCGAGGGGUGAGCGGAAUUCCUGGUGUAGCGGUGGAAUGCGUAGAUAUCAGGAAGAACACCGACGGCGAAGGCGGCUCACUGGCGCAGUACUGACCCUCAUGGACGAAAGCGUGGGUAGCGAACAGGAUUAGAUACCCUGGUAGUCCACGCCGUAAAUGUUGUGCACUAGAUGCAGCCGGAUCUGAUCCCGGCUGUGUCUCAGCUAACGCGUUAACGUUCACCGCCUG
rnacentral:rRNA from 1 species